GAUGAACGCUGGCGGCGUGCCUAACACAUGCAAGUCGAGCGAUUCUCUUCGGAGAAGAGCGGCGGACGGGUGAGUAACGCGUGGGUAACCUGCCCUGUACACACGGAUAACAUACCGGAAGGUAUGCUAAUACGAGAUAAUAUACUUUUAUCGCAUGGUAGAAGUAUCAAAGUUUUUGCGGUACAGGAUGGACCCGCGUCUGAUUAGCUAGUUGGUAAGGUAACGGCUUACCAAGGCGACGAUCAGUAGCCGACCUGAGAGGGUGAUCGGCCACAUUGGAACUGAGACACGGUCCAAACUCCUACGGGAGGCAGCAGAGGGGAAUAUUGCACAAUGGGCGAAAGCCUGAUGCAGCAACGCCGCGUGAGCGAUGAAGGCCUUCGGGUCGUAAAGCUCUGUCCUCAAGGAAGAUAAUGACGGUACUUGAGGAGGAAGCCCCGGCUAACUACGUGCCAGCCGCCGCGGUAA
rnacentral:rRNA from 1 species